UCGAAAUAUAAGUGAAUUUUUUUACCAAUAACAAAGCAAAAUUUCAUUAGCAAAAUUAACCUUUAGCUUGUAAAAAAAGACACUAGGUUAGGUUAGGUUGAAAAGAGGGUGCAGAUAUUAAUCCGCCCCUUGCCACUAUGGAUAUACACCUAAGCCAGUAAUUGGCUUGUUGUGCGCUCUAAAUACAAAACAAGUUGGUUCAUAUCUGGUAUAGUGUCCCCACCCCAAGUGCCGGUAUCUGUUAGAAGCGAAGGCGGGGCAAUGACAAAAGGAAAUGCUCCAACGUCUCAUCAUCUUCCCCGCAUGCCCCACACAUGCUAUCACUUGCCGCACCGAUUUUACAUAAUAAAAAAUGGCAUUAAUAGAAAUCUUUUCCAACAAAAUGCUAUAAAACAAAUAAAAGCGUGCUAAGUUCGGCC